rnacentral:lncRNA from 1 species
UGAUGAACUUCUUCAGUGUUCAGGACAUGGCCUCUCGCUAGACUUCAGAGCUACAGCUGGGAAAGUACCGGGAAGGCUUGGACACGGAUGCAGCACCUGUCUCCUAUAUCCCAAACUACCAUUCAGUUCUCCAGGACUGCUUGCCAUCAAGGAAGCACAUGACAUAGAGACCAGGCUCAAUGAGGUCGAGAAGCUGCUGGAGACUGUUAUCAGCAUGCCAUGUAAGGUGAGCAAGACGUCUGGGGGGGCAGGGAGGCCAGAGUGGCCAUCACCACCCAGACUUAAAGACAGCUCCCUGUAUCUCACUCACUGUUUCACUGGCAGACAAUCAAGGGAAGGAAGACUUCUGUGGGCUCUGCUAGGUUCUUUCAAGUCAUGUGGUGUGAGGCAGGAGGGAACAGGCUUUCUACAGAAGUGGCAGGCUUUGCUUUCUUCCCUUGCCUCAGAACCCAUUCUUCUUGCUUAGGUUUAACAGGCGCCAGGAAGCCAGGGGCUGUGUCAGCAUCAUUGGCAGCUACAGUGUUCAGUUCCGUCUCCCUGGAACUCACAGUGUUCAGUUCCAUCUCCCUGGAGCUCACAGACUGAGUCUGUGAGCUUGAUGUGGGGAACUAAGAACCUGGAGGGUCAGGCGGAACUCCUUAGCACUAUUGUCCCCCUUGGUGAAUGACUGAAGUAGAAGCGACCCAGCAGGUAGUAAGGAAGGGAGCUGGGUGUGAUAUACCAGCUGUGUGCAAAGCAUUCCACAGAGCCACCCACCCUAGCCGGAGGCCUCGCCUGUUAGCCACUUGUAAACAAAGAAGCUGCAAUGAUCCACUCACUGGACACAGUCCAUCAGCUCCUGCCCAGGCCCCAGGGCUGCCUUCUGAGCAUCAUGUCAGUUGGGGUUACCUCUGUGCACAAACACCAGCAUCCCUGUGGAACCUACUAUGGAGAGCUUUUCAGCCUCGGUAAUGACUGUGUUUAUCCCCAGUAUUCUAGGUCAGAGGUUGUACUCACCUUCUUUGAAAGAUCGCCUCUGGAUCAGGUGUUAAAAAAUGAUAAUGUCCAUAAAAUUCAACCCAGCUUUCAAAGUCCUGUCAAAAUAUCAGAAAUCAUGAGGUCCAAUGGAUUUUGUUUGGCAAACACAGAAACAAUAGUUAUUGACCACAGCAUACCCAACGGGAAGGACCAGCUCCUGGACGCAGACUCCACUGAGCAUUUGUUUGAGAAUGGUGGCGAGUUCACCCCAGAGCUGGAGGAUGGCGAUGACCCGACAGCUUACGUCACCAACUUGUCCUAUUACCAUCUGGUUCCAUUUGAGACAGACAUUUUGGACUGAGCCUCUCCAUCAGGCCUUCUCUGCCUCAGUCCUUGACUGCAUGUCCUCAUGCUGCCCCACUGAGUGGUCCCAAGGGCCAAAGCUGCUGCUCAGCCUGGGCCUCCCAGGGUCCUGAGGUUCACCCGGCCUGGAUGUCCUGAAAGCGGAGGCUCAGGGCCUCUUGAUGUCCAUGGGCUAUCCCCGGGCUGACUCCAGCAACAGGAAGCCACAUGUCCUGCAGCCCUGAGGGGCCUCUUACUUGCACUCAGCCCCACCAGCCUGCCUCUUCUCCUGGGAGGCACUGUUCCUGUGGGCCAUGCUUCCUCUUGUUCUUACUGCCUUCUUGAGGGGAGCAUUCUCCUUGAUCACAUGCCCGGAGUUCCCAUGUUUUCCUCAUGUGUCAAAGGUGUGAAGCAUUUCAAGAGGGUAUUUGAUACGUCACCAAGGUCUGGAUCACAAGGGCAGGGGAUAUUGAGUGACUCAGGGCUUCCCUGAGACGUGUGGCUUUACAUCACCUCCCUGGAAAUGGGGUCUGGGGUCAGCUGGAAAGAGUGUUUACACAAUGUCAAGCCUAGAGGGAAGUGCUGGCUUCAGAGAGAGGAAAGCAUCCUCGGUGAUGCGCAUAUGAACCCAGUUCGAAGUUUUCCUCCCUCCUCUCUGCCAGCAUCUGAGCUCCUCUGCCAGGCUGUGAUACUGUUACCACCACCAAGGGUGCUAGAAGUUCCUUCCCCCGGUGCACUCAAUGGUAGAAUUGCCAUCAUGAAUCAGAAAGGAAGGGAUGGGAGGAAGAGACGCUUACAGCUUGGACCACAGGAAGGUCUGGGUCCUGCGAGCUCAUCUCCUCACUGUGUCUACUAACGACCAACACUUGCUAAUGUAAAUAAUAGUAAAUUAUUGAAAAUUCUAAUUCUUUUACACACUGUUUUUAAUCUAUUUUAAUUAAAUAAAACCUAUUGCUCUACUUUGAUCUAGUGGGG